CAGACAUGUCACCCCCUCCUCAGCCCAACAACCCCAGUUCUAUGCAGGCCAUCACAUUUCAGACUGUCUUUGUUAUAUCAUUUGCAUCAUUAUGUACCAUACUUUUCAAGAUGAUAGCACAUUAAUGACACUUUAUAUUGAAUAUUUAUAGUUUAUAUUAAGACAUACUACAGAUUAUAUGCAUUUUCUCCUCAUUUAAAAAAUCCUUUACUCCAUCUUGAAGGAAAAAAAAAAAAACCUUGCCUACAUCCUUAUUUUCUUUUUCUUUCUGUAAUAAACUUCUUCAAUGUCUGUACUUCACAAAACUCUACCAGCAGCUUUACUAAUGCUACUGCCUUCAAAGAUCAUGCAUGUCUUCAACUUGUCAUUUUUCUCAAAUCAUUAUCUCAACAUCUCACAUUGUUCCUUCAUUGCUUUUUUUAUUCUUUGAUUUCUCCCUUGUAAGUUUCCUGAGGUGCUCUCCUUAUCAUUUCUCACUGGGGUUCUUAUCAGUGAUGUUAUAAAGAACAUUAAGCUCUCUCCAGUUUACUGGUGAGUUGAUCCCAGAUUACUUGCUCAAAAAUGUGACUCUUCUUUCUCCACAUUUCUGAACAUCUCAGAUGUGAAGCUUGUGAACUUUCACAUGUCUAGGAUGCAGUUCCCUUUCCUGUCGCAGUUUCAGGUCUUUACUCUCCUUAUAUUUAUUUAGUUAAUGAUUUUUACCACUCAUAUUCUAAAACCUUCUGAUUCCUCCUUUCCAUUCUUUUUUUCUGUUUCAUUUCCCAUCUACUUUUCACUGCUUCAGGUACCUCCAACUGUCCAUCCUUCCUGAAUUUUUUGAAGGACUUCUGAUUGGCUCAUUUCUCACCACAUUAACCAUAUUUGCCAAAAA
rnacentral:lncRNA from 1 species